rnacentral:rRNA from 1 species
GACGAACGCUGGCGGCGUGCUUAACACAUGCAAGUCGAACGGAAAGGCCCAGCUUGCUGGGUGCUCGAGUGGCGAACGGGUGAGUAACACGUGGGUGAUCUGCCCCUAACUUCGGGAUAAGCUUGGGAAACUGGGUCUAAUACCGGAUAGGACAAUCGUUUAGUGUCGGUUGUGGAAAGUUUUUUCGGUUAGGGAUGAGCCCGCGGCCUAUCAGCUUGUUGGUGGGGUAAUGGCCUACCAAGGCGUCGACGGGUAGCCGGCCUGAGAGGGUGGACGGCCACAUGGGGAAUGGAGUGCGGACGAGGGGCCUGCCGGAGGCAGCAGGGGGGGGUAUUGAACAAUGGUCGCAGGGUUGAUGCAGCUAUGCGGCGUGGAGGAUGACGGGGUUCGGGUUGUAAACGUAGAUCGACGGGGACGAAGCUUGGGUGACGGUACCUGUAGAAGAAGCACCGGCUAACUACG